rnacentral:rRNA from 1 species
UACGUAGGGUGCGAGCGUUAAUCGGAAUUACUGGGCGUAAAGCGUGCGCAGGCGGUUUGAUAAGUCAGAUGUGAAAGCCCCGGGCUCAACCUGGGAACUGCGUUUGAAACUGUCAAGCUAGAGUGUGUCAGAGGGAGGUAGAAUUCCACGUGUAGCAGUGAAAUGCGUAGAGAUGUGGAGGAAUACCGAUGGCGAAGGCAGCCUCCUGGGAUAACACUGACGCUCAUGCACGAAAGCGUGGGGAGCAAACAGG